UACAGAGGGGGCAAGCGUUGUUCGGAAUUACUGGGCGUAAAGGGCGCGUAGGCGGCCUGCUAAGUCGAACGUGAAAUCCCCGGGCUCAACCCGGGAACUGCGUCCGAUACUGGCAGGCUUGAAUCCGGGAGAGGGAUGCGGAAUUCCAGGUGUAGCGGUGAAAUGCGUAGAUAUCAGGAGGAACACCGGUGGCGAAGGCGGCUCUCUGGACCACAACUGACGCUGAGGCGCGAAAGCUAGGGGAGCAAACAGG
rnacentral:rRNA from 1 species